rnacentral:tRNA from 1 species
AUCCCUGUAGCGCAAUGGAUAGCACGUUGGACUUCGAAUGCAAAGGUCGUGGGUUCGAAUUCCACCUGGGAUG